UUUUUCUUUUCAUUCCCUAUUUCAGCAAUGAGCAAUAAUAUAUCAUUUGAUAUAUUUUUGCUUUUCUUUCUCAAAUACACAAAAAGAAGUGACAAAAAAAUACAGAAAAAGAAGAAAACAACCCUAAUCCUCCAACAAUGGGUAAACGGAAUUGAAUUCGUCAGAAUGGGUGAACCAAAUUCGUCUCAACAACCGUAAUCCUCCGAAUUCGUCCCUGUCGAAGAACAAUCCGCUGUGGAAGAAGAAAACUCUUCCAUCAACCCUAAUCCGUGAAGAACAACCUCAAUCACUCCGCCGUUAUUAUCCAUCGUUCUCGUGGUUACAAGUUUUUGCGUACUAUUGCUGUUCUUUUGUGUUUGUGGUGCCUUUCUAAUGUUAAGUAUGUUGGUGUUGUAUUAUUGUGUGAUAAGUGUGUUAUUGUGUGUCUGUGUGGGUUUUCAAGCUUCUUCAUUCCCUAAACCCUAAAAAAAUCCUAAAUCUGUGAUUCUCAUAAGCUUCUCAUCGAUAUUCUUACUCAUAAGCUUCAAUCCUAAAUCUGUGAUUCUCACUCACAAGCUCCAAUCCCUAAAUCUCUCAAGCUACGUUCAGAUUCAACAUUCAGGCUUCGUUCGAAUCCCUAAAUCACUCAACCUCUCAAGCUUCGUUGAACCUCUCAAGCUUCGCUGAACCUUCAAUCUCCAUUCAACUUCGUUCAGCUUCGUUUAACAUUCAAAAUCAUAUUCAAUCUUCAAAAUCCAGAUUAUUUGAAUCCAUUUCAUGCAUAUGAUGAAGGGAAUCUUACAUGGCUGGUUCUCUUACUUUUAUCGUGCCUCAUUGGAUUAUAUAGUAAAAUGUGGGAAGCAGCCUGACUUACUGCAUCUUCUUCCGUCAGGCCUUGCCGUGUGUUUUGUCUUUGGAAAAGGAUGCAGUUUUUUAAUACAGAGUGUUGUUUUCUCUUCUUGAAUGGAUGGCAAUUUACUUAAGGAUGGACUUCCAUCUUAUGCCCUUUGGCUUUUCAUUUACGAUGUAGUUUAUUUAUCCUAUUGUUUUAGAUCAAUUUUUAGAGCAAGUACUGAUGCGGUUUUGAUAGGUGCUUAGGACUAUUUUGGUGGGUUAUAUAUUAGUGGGUUAUAUUUUGAUAGGUGCUUAGGACUAUUUUGAUGGGUUAUAUAUUUUGUGGGAUAUUUUGGUGGAUUAUUUAUUAGUGGAUUAUAUUUUCAUGGAUGUAGACCUUUUUUGUUGACAUUAUAUAUGGUUAUAUGGUAUAAAUAGAAGGUCCAGUAAAAAACUAUUUAAUUUAU